rnacentral:rRNA from 1 species
CAAGUCGAGGGGAAACGACAUCGAAAGCUUGCUUUUGAUGGGCGUCGACCGGCGCACGGGUGAGUAACGCGUAUCCAACCUUCCGCAUACUCGGGAAUAGCCUUUCGAAAGAAAGAUUAAUGCCCGAUGGUUUCCCGAAUCCGCAUGAGAACGGGAAUAAAGAUUCAUCGGUAUGCGAUGGGGAUGCGUCCCAUUAGCUUGUUGGCGGGGUAACGGCCCACCAAGGCUACGAUGGGUAGGGGUUCUGAGAGGAAGGUCCCCACAUUGGAACUGAGACACGGUCCAAACUCC